rnacentral:rRNA from 1 species
GACGAACGCUGGCGGCAUGCCUAACACAUGCAAGUCGAACGAGACCUUCGGGUCUAGUGGCGCACGGGUGCGUAACGCGUGGGAACCUGCCUUUAGGUUCGGAAUAACUCAGAGAAAUUUGAGCUAAUACCGGAUAAUGUCUUCGGACCAAAGAUUUAUCGCCUUUAGAUGGGCCCGCGUAAGAUUAGCUAGUUGGUGGGGUAAAGGCCUACCAAGGCGACGAUCUUUAGCUGGUCUGAGAGGAUGAUCAGCCACACUGGGACUGAGGCACGGCCCAGACUCCUACGGGAGGCAGCAGUGGGGAAUAUUGGACAAUGGGCGAAAGCCUGAUCCAGCAAUGCCGCGUGAGUGAUGAAGGCCUUAGGGUUGUAAAACUCUUUCGCCGGAGAAGAUAAUGACGGUAUCCGGAGAAGAAGCCCCGGCUAACUUCGUGCCAGCAGCCGCGGUAAU